CGGGGUGAGUAAUGUAUGGGGAUCUGCCUGAUGGCGGGGGGUAACUACUGGAAACGGUAGCAAUACCGCAUAAUGUCUGCGGACCAAAGCGGGGGGACCGUCCGGGCCUCGCGCCAUCAGAUGAACCCAUAUGGGAUUAGCUAGUAGGUAAGGUAACGGCUUACCUAGGCGACGAUCCCUAGCUGGUCUGAGAGGAUGAUCAGCCACACUGGGACUGAGACACGGCCCAG
rnacentral:rRNA from 1 species